rnacentral:rRNA from 1 species
GUAACGCUGGCGGCGUGUCUUAGCCAUGCAAGUCGAGCGGACUUAUGGGGUAACUUAUAAGUCAGCGGCGGACGGCGGAGUAACACGUAGCUAACCUACCCUCUGGACGGGGAUAACCUACCGAAAGGUGGGCUAAUACCCGAUGUAGUCAUCCUGUAUAGGGGUGAUGAAAGGUGGGCUUCUGUUACAAGCUCAUGCUGGAGGAGGGGGCUGCGGCCUAUCAGGUAGUUGGUAGGGUAAUAGCCUACCAAGCCGAUGACGGGUAGCCGGCCUGAGAGGGUGACCGGCCCGAGGGGCACUGAGAUACGGGUCCCACUCCUACGGGAGGCAGCAGCAGGGAAUCUUGGGCAAUGGGCGAAAGCCUGACCCAGCGACGCCGCGUGGAGGAAGAAGUCCUUCGGGGCGUAAACUCCUGGACUGGGGGACGAGUAAGGACGGUACCCCAGUAGAAAGGGACGGCUAACUACGUG